CUGUGAUCUCAGGUGUGGAGCCUCCCACUGCUGCUGGUGGUCGGCUGGGCACACGUGCGGGGGGUUCGCCAUUCUACCGUGAGCUGUGGUUCAUUGUGCUGAUGGCUGGAGUCUCGCUAUUGCUGCUGGCUCUCAUUCUGGCUAUAGUUUUACAGAAGGCUCUCAAUAAACCGCCGUUCACCCUCGUAUCAGUGCCACUCCAGUGCCGCAGCCCGCUGGCCGUCUACCCACCCAGCAACUCCUACCUGUUUGACACGGUUCCAGAAACGGUGGGAUCUCUGAACAGCGUCACACUGAAGGCCUUCACCAUGCACAUGGAGGAGGUGAUUGAGAGUAAAGUGGAGGAGGAUCGUUCUGCUGAAGAUGAGGAUGGUUUGGUGACAGUCUCAGGUCUGUACACACAAAACCUUUUACAGCGCAGCGUCAGCCAGCUCAUCGACAAGAAAGACGAGGAAUCAUGGGAGCCGCACUUCAGACGCCUCGACAGCGGCCUGUUUGAAGGUGAGGAGUUUGUGGACACCAUCAAAGGCUUCAGCACAGCCAGGAAGGAACACACCAUGUUCACCGACACCAACCUUUGACCCUCAUCUCACAUCAUCAGCACUUUCUCCAAACAUCAUCUCAGAACUGAGCGGUUUUGGUGAAUUCAGAACUGCUCUGGGACUCGUACCUGUGAUACUGGCAGGAGGAAACCGGAUUAUACAGCAGACAAAAAAAAGAAAGAAAAAACUGCAAAUUCUUUGCUGAAACAUUGCUUUAGAUUUUUUAUUUUAUGAUGCAUGUAAUGUUUAAGCAUUAAGCACAAG
rnacentral:lncRNA from 1 species